rnacentral:rRNA from 1 species
AACGUAGGACGCAAGCGUUAUCCGGAGUUACUGGGCGUAAAGGGCGCGUAGGCGGGGAGGUAAGUCGGGUGUGAAAUCCCUCGGCUCAACCGAGGAACUGCGCCCGAGACUGCCUUUCUUGAGUCCCGGGGAGGAAGGUGGAAUUCCCGGUGUAGCGGUGAAAUGUGUAGAGAUCGGGAGGAACACCGGUGGCGAAGGCGGCCUUCUGGACGGUGACUGACGCUGAGGCGCGAAAGCGUGGGGAGCAAACGGG